rnacentral:lncRNA from 1 species
GCGUCCCAGAAGGCAUGGCGGCGAGGCGGGCGGAGCGCAGAACCGCUGGCCCCCGUCGGAGAAGAGUUGGGAACGAGGAAAGAAGCUUCGAGAAGAUGAGGGGGAAAGGGACUACCCCGGGAGUUGGUCUUUUAAGGAUGUCCUAGUCCGGUUCACCACAGAGCGUUCGAAGAAUGGGUGAAUAUAACAAUUUAUUGUAAAUGCAACAAAAAACAACAAGGACAUGGACCCAAGAAACUCAGAUCUACAAGACCCUGUUGACAAGUGAAGCGUGAGAGGUUUGAAACAGUACUGAAAUACUGAUCCAGUUUUCUUUUUUGUUGUGUUUGAGACCGGGUCCCUCAAUGUAGUUCUGGUUGUUCAGGAACUCGCCUUGUAGACCAGGCUUGCUUCAAACGCACGUUAAGUCUUUCUGCCUGUCUCUUAAAAAAAAUGCUGAAAUGAUGAAAGGUUUGAGCCAUCAUGCCCAGCUGCGUUCUUUUAACCCAUUACUAGUUGAAUUACGUUUUCCAAAACAUUGGGAACUUGAACCAAAUUUGUAUUUAUUUCCUGGCAAAGUUGUAUUUG